rnacentral:rRNA from 1 species
AUACAGAGGGUGCGAGCGUUGUUCGGAAUUACUGGGCGUAAAGCGCGCGCAGGCGGGAUGGCAAGUCGGAUGUGAAAGCCCUCGGCUCAACCGAGGAAGUGCAUUCGAAACUGCCGUUCUUGAGUGUCGGAGAGGGUGGUGGAAUUCCCGGUGUAGAGGUGAAAUUCGUAGAUAUCGGGAGGAACACCAGUGGCGAAGGCGACCACCUGGACGAACACUGACGCUGAGGCGCGAAAGCGUGGGGAGCAAACAGGAUUAGAUACCCUGGUAGUCCACGCCGUAAACGAUGAGUGCUAGCUGUUGCGGGAGUUGACCCCUGCAGUGGCGAAGCCAACGCAUUAAGCACUCCGCCUGGGGAGUACGGCCGCAAGGCUAAA